AGUGGCGGACGGGUGAGUAACACGUAAGAAUUUGCCUUUAGGAGGGGGACAACAACUAGAAAUGGUUGCUAAUACCCCAUAUGCUUUCGAGUGAAAUGGAUUUUUCCGCCUAGAGAGAAGCUUGCGGCUGAUUAGCUUGUUGGUGAGGUAAUGGCUCACCAAGGCGACGAUCAGUAUCUGGUUUGAGAGGACGAUCAGACACACUGGAACUGAGACACGGUCCAGACUCCUACGGGAGGCAGCAGUGGGGAAUUUUCCGCAAUGGGCGAAAGCCUGACGGAGCAAUACCGCGUGAGGGAUGACGGCCUAUGGGUUGUAAACCUCUUUUUUCAGGGAGGAAUCAAUGACGUGUACCUGAAGAAUAAGCAUCGGCUAACUCCGUGCCAGCAGCCGCGGUAAGACGGGGGAUGCAAGUGUUAUCCGGAAUCACUGGGCGUAAAGCGUCUGUAGGUGGUCCAAUAAGUCAACUGUUAAAUCUUGAGGCUCAACCUCAAAAUCGCAGUCGAAACUAUUAGACUAGAGUAUAGUAGGGGUAAAGGGAAUUUCCAGUGGAGCGGUGAGAUGCGUAGAGAUUGGAAAGAACACCGAUGGCGAAGGCACUUUACUGGGCUAUUACUAACACUCAGAGACGAAAGCUAGGGUAGCAAAUGGGAUUAGAUACCCCAGUAGUCCUAGCCGUAAACAAUGGAUACUAGAUGUU
rnacentral:rRNA from 1 species